CCGCCCCUAGCUCACCGGAUAGAGCGCCCGAUCUCGAAUUGGGAGGCACCAGGUUCGACUCCUGGGGGGCGGUC
rnacentral:tRNA from 1 species